CCUACGGGAGGCUGCAGUGGGGAAUAUUGCGCAAUGGGCGAAAGCCUGACGCAGCGACGCCGCGUGAGGGAUGAAGGUCUUCGGAUCGUAAACCUCUGUCAGCAGGGAAGAACGGUCACUUUGCUAAUCAGCAGUGAAUUGACGGUACCUGCAAAGGAAGCACCGGCUAACUCCGUGCCAGCCGCCGCGGUAAUACGGAGGGUGCGAGCGUUAAUCGGAAUUACUGGGCGUAAAGCGCUCGUAGGCGGUAUGUCAAGUCAAGGGUGACAUCCCCGCGCUCAACGUGGGAACUGCCUUUGAAACUGGCAAACUGGAGUGUGUGAGAGGAUAGUGGAAUUCCAGGUGUAGGAGUGAAAUCCGUAGAUAUCUGGAGGAACAUCAGUGGCGAAGGCGACUAUCUGGCACAUAACUGACGCUGAGGAGCGAAAGCGUGGGUAGCAAACAGGAUUAGAUACCCCAGUAGUC
rnacentral:rRNA from 1 species